AGGGGGGGGGGCUCAGAGCAGAGUGAGUGAGGUGUGUGUGGGAGGGGGGGGCUCAGAGCAGAGUGAGUGAGGUGUGUGGUGUUCGAGCUGUUCUCCUUGACUCCAAUCUCCUCUCCACAAGUCAGAAGCUGAAUCUGGCAGACAGCAGGAGAUACCCAGGACAGCCAGCAGUUAAGUCGGUCUUCAGUCAAGUCUCAUCUCCUUGUCUCCUAACCUCUUCUCCUUAUUUGAUUUCCUUAUCCCCUAAAUUCAUUCCUUAUAUGCCUCUUCGCUUCUCCUCUAACAUCCCCUCCCCUCUUCUCCCUCCUCCACCUCGCCCCCUCUCCCAUCCCCUCUUCUCCUCUACUCGUCCCCUCGCCCGUCCCCUCUUCCCUCUUCUCCUCUAACCCUGCCCUCGCCCGUCCCCUGUUCUCCUCUACCCUGCCCUCCCCCCCAUCUUCUCCUCUACCCACCCCCCCCAUCUCUUCAUCUUCUCCUCCAACAUCCCUCCCCUCUUCCCGCCCUCUUCUCCUCUACCGCGACCCC
rnacentral:lncRNA from 1 species